CGGGACGGGUGAGUAACACGUGGGUAACCUACCUAUAAGACUGGGACAACUUCGGGAAACCGGAGCUAAUACCGGAUAAGAUAUCGAACCGCAUGGUUCGAUAGUGAAAGAUGGUUUUGCUAUCACUUAUAGAUGGACCCGCGCCGUAUUAGCUAGUUGGUGAGGUAACGGCUCACCAAGGCAACGAUACGUAGCCGACCUGAGAGGGUGAUCGGCCACACUGGAACUGAGACACGGUCCAGACUCCUACGGGAGGCAGCAGCC
rnacentral:rRNA from 1 species